AGAGUUUGAUUCUGGCUCAGAACGAACGCUGGCGGCGUGGAUAAGACAUGCAAGUCGGACGCUUGUAUUUUUGUAGCAAUAUGAGGAUACGGGAGUGGCGAAAGGGUGCGUAACACGUGGGUAAUUUGUCUUAGAGUUGAGGAUAAUUCGCUGAAAGGCGGAGUAAUACUGAAUGUGGAUAUUGGGUGGGAACGUUUGAUAUCUAAAGCCGGGGACCGCAAGGCCUGGCGCUCUUAGGUAAGCCCGCGUCCUAUCAGCUAGUUGGUGAGGUAAGAGCUCACCAAGGCGAUGACGGGUAGCUGGUCUGAGAGGACGACCAGCCACACUGGAACUGAGACACGGUCCAGACACCUACGGGUGGCAGCAGUCGAGAAUUUUUCUCAAUGGGGGGAACCCUGAAGGAGCGACGCCGCGUGGGGGAUGAAGGGCUUCGGCUCGUAAACCCCUGUCAUUUGUGAGCAAGUGUUAUAGUUUAAGAGAUGAUGACAUUGAUAGUAGCAAAAGAGGAAGGGACGGCUAACUCUGUGCCAGCAGCCGCGGUAAUACAGAGGUCCCAAGCGUUGUUCGGAAUCACUGGGCGUAAAGGGUGCGUAGGCGGUAUGGUAAGACUUGGGUGAAAUCUCCAUGCUUAACGUGGAGGGAGCCUGGGAGACUGCCGUGCUAGAGGAUUGGAGGGGAGACUGGAAUUCUUGGAGUAGCAGUGAAAUGCGUAGAUAUCAAGAGGAACACCAGUGGCGAAGGCGAGUCUCUGGACAAUUCCUGACGCUGAGGCACGAAGGCCAGGGGAUCAAACGGGAUUAGAUACCCCGGUAGUCCUGGCAGUAAACGGUGCACACUUGCUGUGUGAGGGAUCGACCCCUUACGUGGCGCAGCCAACGCGCUAAGUGUGCCGCCUGGGGAGUACGGUCGCAAGACUAAAACUCAAAGAAAUUGACGGGGGCCUGCACAAGCGGUGGAGUAUGUGGCUUAAUUCGAUGCAACGCGAAGAACCUUACCUGGCCUUGACAUGCAGAUAUUAGGAGGGUGAAAGCCCGACGAGUGAGCAAUCACAGUCUGCACAGGUGCUGCAUGGCUGUCGUCAGCUCGUGUCGUGAGAUGUUGGGUUAAG
rnacentral:rRNA from 1 species